rfam:Shewanella benthica KT99 1099576005604, whole genome shotgun sequence.
CGCAUGACGGGGCAACUCGGCAUGUGAUUAAGCAGAAGUCAGCAGACGGCAUAGUAGCCAAAUGCCCAUCGUAAUGGUUGGGACAGGGUGAAGGCC